GACGAACGCUGGCGGCGUGCUUAACUCAUGCAAGUCGAACGGUAAGGCCCUUCGGGGUACACGAGUGGCGAACGGGUGAGUAACACGUGGGUGAUCUGCCCUGCACUUCGGGAUAAGCCUGGGAAACUGGGUCUAAUACCGGAUAGGACCCUGGGAUGCAUGUCCUGGGGUGGAAAGCUUUUGCGGUGUGGGAUGGGCCCGCGGCCUAUCAGCUUGUUGGUGGGGUGAUGGCCUACCAAGGCGACGACGGGUAGCCGGCCUGAGAGGGUGACCGGCCACACUGGGACUGAGAUACGGCCCAGACUCCUACGGGAGGUAGCAGUGGGGAAUAUUGCACAAUGGGCGCAAGCCUGAUGCAGCGACGCCGCGUGAGGGAUGACGGCCUUCGGGUUGUAAACCUCUUUCAGCACCGACGAAGCGCAAGUGACGGUAGGUGCAGAAGAAGGACCGGCCAACCACGUGCCAGCAGCCGCCGUAA
rnacentral:rRNA from 1 species